rnacentral:rRNA from 1 species
UUGGGAAAGCUACUAAGGGCGAUCGGUGGAUGCCUUGGCACCAAGAGCCGAUGAAGGACGUUGUAACCUGCGAUAAGCCCCGGGGAGUUGGUAAACGAGCUGUGAUCCGGGGAUGUCCGAAUAGGGAAACCUCGAAUGUCUCCAGUCAUGUGGAGCGACCUCUACCUGAAUCUAUAGGGUAGUGGGAGGGAACGUGGGGAAGUGAAACAUCUCAGUACCCAUAGGAAGAGAAAACAAAAGUGAUUCCGUAAGUAGUGGCGAGCGAACGCGGAUGAGGCCAAACUGCGUGUGUGUGAGACCUGACAGGGGUUGCAUGCGUGGGGUUGUGGGGCCGUCUUUGACCUGGCUGUCGACGGGUCGUGGAGUCAAAAAUGUGCACUGAAGUCGAAGGAUUCUGGGAAGGUCCGGCAGAGCAGGUAAUACCCCUGUAGACGUAAGGUGUGCACUCCAUGGGGCGGUUCCCAAGUAGCACGGGACUCCUGGAAUUUCGUGUGAAUCUGGCGGGACCACCCGCUAAGCCUAAAUACUCCUUGGUGACCGAUAGCGGAUCAGUACCGUGAGGGAAUGGUGAAAAGUACCCCGGGAGGGGAGUGAAAUAGUACCUGAAACCGGUCGCCUACAAGCCGUCGGAGCCUGCGAGGGUGACGGCGUGCCUAUUGAAAAAUGAGCCUGCGAGUUAGUGGUGUGUGGCGAGGUUAACCCGUGUGGGGUAGUCGUAGCGAAAGCGAGUCCGAUAAGGGCGUUGAGUCGCAUGCUCUAGACCCGAAGCGUAGUGAUCUAUCCAUGGCCAGGUUGAAGCGACGGUAAGACGUCGUGGAGGACCGAACCCACCUAGGUUGAAAACUGGGGGGAUGAGCUGUGGAUAGGGGUGAAAGGCCAAUCAAACUACGUGAUAGCUGGUUCUCCCCGAAAUGCAUUUAGGUGCAGCGUCACGUGUUUCUUCCCGGAGGUAGAGCACUGGAUGGUCUAGGGGGCCCACAAGCUUACCGAAAUCAGCCAAACUCCGAAUGCCGGUGAAGCCAGAGCGUGGCAGUGAGACAGUGGGGGAUAAGCUUCAUUGUCGAGAGGGAAACAGCCCAGAUCAUCAGCUAAGGCCCCUAAGUGGUUACUAAGUGGAAAAGGAUGUGGAGUUGCGGUGACAACCAGGAGGUUGGCUUGGAAGCAGCCACCCUUGAAAGAGUGCGUAAUAGCUCACUGGUCAAGUGAUUCUGCGCCGACAAUUCAGCGGGGCUUAAGUAAUCCGCCGAAGCUAUGGCAUUCACACAUUGGUGUGGAUGGGUAGGGGAGCGUCGUGCACGUGGUGAAGCGGCGGGGUGACCCGGCCGUGGAGUGUGCGCGAGUGAGAAUGCAGGCAUGAGUAGCGAAUGACGGGUGAGAAACCCGUCCGCCGAAUAUCCAAGGGUUCCAGGGUCAAGCUAAUCUGCCCUGGGUAAGUCGGGACCUAAGGCGAGGCCGACAGGCGUAGUCGAUGGACAACGGGUUGAUAUUCCCGUACCGGUGUAAUGGCGCCCCUGCCGAGGCGCGCGAUGCUGAGCACGGAAGCUGUUCCCAUGUCACCUUCGGGUGGCCGGGUUCAGUGACUCUGCGACCCAGACGUGUAGUAGGCAAGCUACGGAGUGACGCAGGAAGGUAGCCCAUCCUGGGCGGUGGUUGUCCCAGGGUAAAGGUGUAGGACGAGGUAUAGGUAAAUCCGUGCCUUGUGUGUCUGAGACCUGAUGCCACUGCCACAUUCGUGUGGUGGUGUGGGUGAUCCUAUGCUGCCGAGAAAAGCUUCGUGAGCGAUGUCAUGAGCCGCCCGUACCCUAAACCGACACAGGUGGAUGAGUAGAGAAUACUAAGGCGAUCGAGAGAAUCGUGGUUAAGGAACUCGGCAAAAUACCCCCGUAACUUCGGGAUAAGGGGGCCGGAUGCGUGAUCCGCCUUUGCGUGGUGAAGCGUUGAUGGCCGCAGAGACCAGGCCCAAGCGACUGUUUAUCAAAAACACAGGUCCGUGCCAAGUCGUAAGACGAUGUAUACGGACUGACUCCUGCCCGGUGCUGGAAGGUUAAGGGGACGUGUCAACUUCGGUGAAGCACUGAACUUAAGCCCCAGUAAACGGCGGUGGUAACUAUAACCAUCCUAAGGUAGCGAAAUUCCUUGUCGGGUAAGUUCCGACCUGCACGAAUGGAGUAACGACUCGGGCACUGUCUCAACCACGAACUCGGUGAAAUUGCACUACGAGUAAAGAUGCUCGUUACGCGCAGCAGGACGGAAAGACCCCGGGACCUUUACUAUAGUUUGGUAUUGGUGAUCGGUACAGCUUGUGUAGGAUAGGUGGGAGACGUUGAAGCGGCCACGCCAGUGGUUGUGGAGUCAUUGUUGAAAUACCACUCUGGUUGUUCUGGUUAUCUAACCUCGGACCAUGAUCUGGUUCAGGGACAGUGCCUGAUGGGUAGUUUGACUGGGGCGGUCGCCUCCCAAAGAGUAACGGAGGCGCCCAAAGGUUCCCUCAGCCUGGUUGGCAAUCAGGUGUCGAGUGUAAGUGCACAAGGGAGCUUGACUGUGAGACUGACGGGUCGAGCAGGGACGAAAGUCGGGACUAGUGAUCUGACGGUGGCGUGUGGAAGCGCCGUCACUCAACGGAUAAAAGGUACCCCGGGGAUAACAGGCUGAUCUUGCCCGAGCGUCCAUAGCGACGGCAUGGUUUGGCACCUCGAUGUCGGCUCGUCGCAUCCUGGGGCUGGAGUCGGUCCCAAGGGUUGGGCUGUUCGCCCAUUAAAGCGGCACGCGAGCUGGGUUCAGAACGUCGUGAGACAGUUCGGUCCCUAUCCGCUGUGCGCGUAGGAGUCUUGAGAAGGGCUGUCCUUAGUACGAGAGGACCGGGACGGACCAACCUCUGGUGUGCCAGUUGUUCUGCCAAGAGCAUGGCUGGUUGGCUACGUUGGGAAGUGAUAACCGCUGAAAGCAUCUAAGCGGGAAGCACGCUUCAAGAUGAGGACUCCCACUUUUUGGUAAGGCCCCCAGUAGACGACUGGGUUGAUAGGUCGGAUGUGGAAGCCUAGAAAUGGGUGGAGCUGACCGAUACUAAUAGGCCGAGGGCUUACCUUACACA